AUCUUGCAGCACAUAGUAAUUUUUGGUGAAACGUUUUAGGUCAUACUUUCUACUAUUAAACUAACUAAUUGCUUUGUUAACUUACGUCAUGUUUUUCCAUAAUUUUUUAUUCUUAGGAUUUGAAAAUAGGUGAUGAAAUCAAUGUCAUAGAUUCUUGUUUUUGUGAUGCUAAAUGGUUCUAUAUGUUGUAUACAUGUUAUAAUACCAAGUAACUGUUUUGGAUGAGUUUUAGUGAGAAAAACGUGUUGAUAAUCGUAUUCUAAAGAGGUUUUGAUAAAUAAAGAUGAAGUUGCGGAAGAUGACAAUGGUGGUGGCAGAGAGCACAUAAUGGAAGAAAUGCAGAUGCUUGUGUUAGAGAAAAGACAGUAUAGUCCAGUGUAGUCAGAAAGGGAUAUGUCUAUUGAAUUUAUGAGCAUCAAUUCCAGCAUUAGAUCCUCCCAAGAACCAUUAUAUCCUCAAAGAGUCUCUCCCAGAGUCCUCAAUCCCCGACAGUCUUCAAAAUAUCGGACAACACUAGUUUAUUAAAUCUCAGCCCCCGAAACUCAGUUUUCUUUAGAUGAGAAUUCACUUUGUUCUUCAGAUUCUGAUGCUGAAAUGAGGAAAAAGACAGAAAUAUAGCAUUGUUGGAACCUCAACAAAUCCAAACCCAUCCCUGAGACAUCUGGAGAAUUAUCUGCAGCCUCACCAGAGAGGUUGUCAAUGGCAUCUCAUGGAAAUGUUCGUGACAUCUGGAGAAUUAUCUGCAGCCUCACCAGAGAGGUUGUCAAUGGCAUCUCAUGGAAAUGUUCGUGGAAAUACAAAACACAUUGUUCUCAACUAUACAGAAAAUGAUGUGUUAGAUGAUGGCUGUUAAGUUUUGAUAACUUUUGAGUUGACUAAUUUGUAAUUGUUGCAGUACAACUCUGAGCCUGAAGCCGUUGACCUUUUAAUGGAGGUAACAUGUUGAGGGCCUUGACAUGUUGAAUGAAUAUAUAGACAAAACAAAUUUACGAAGGUGUUUACUUCUUGCAAUGAUGUGCAUCAAAAGAAGCAAUUCUGUUACAUUAUUGCACGUCAUGUAAGUCCUGGAUUCUGUGCUAGUGCUCUAAAUGUUUCUCUGAGUGAUAAUAGGUGUAUUGUUACACAUCAGUUGUUUAACUGUGGAGUGGAGUUAUGUGCUAGUCUCUCUUUAGCUUUAUGUUGGCAAGUGACAAAGCUACAGGGAAUCAAAGGGACUGAGAAGAAGAAGAUUUCACUAUCAGCUUUAUUGAGACUCUCUUUUGAUGAUUUUUGUGAUGUGUGUGGGGAAUUGCUUUUGUGCUCGACAUAGAAAUGGCUGGAAAUGAAGAUGACAGAGAAAAGUUGCAGGAUAUCUUAUACAAUUCUAAGUUAAGUGAAGGAUAUCUAGCUCUUGCUCGUGAUCUUGAAGUCAUGGAGGCCAAGUCCCCUAUGGAUAUAUACAAGGUUUGACACUGAGAAUAAAUUUAGUCCCGCCUCAAUGAAUCCCGGUACAUGUGUAGUUUUUACAUCUAAUGCCCUAAGAUUAGAAUUGUAAAUAAUUAAAUUAUGGUCCAAUUUGAUGAAAGGGCAUGUAAAUAAAUCAUGCUCUUUUAAUUUGAGGUACAAACAACUAUUAGUUUUGCUGCUUGCAUAUGUUUUCUUUUAAAUCUACGAUUUUUUUUAUUAAUAGUUGUAAGUGAUUGUUGAACAAUUGGUUAUGAUUUUUUAUACAAGUGUUGAACUUGGUGCUCAUAUUUUAAAAGCCAAAAAAUAAUCUGCAAUGCAAGUAUGUGUGAAGUUAUUUUCAGAAAUCAGAAGCUACUAUUUUUAACUGCCAAAAACAUUGCUUAAGCAGCUAUUUUGAAGAUUGGCUUUUCAAACACGAGGAACACGGGAGGACUAGUGCUGUAGCAUGCCUGGGUAUGAUUUCACUCUGGGAUGUUAGGAGAUAGUAUCAUUGAGAAUAUUGUAAAUAGAUUAUGGACUAAGCCAAGGCUAUGACAUCUACAUAGCUAGAUUAUUGAUGUCAAAUAGCCGCUAUCAAACUGGUCAUUUCUUGGCCAACCCACAAGGUGGCCUAGGUCUUCAGUUUGCACAGCUUGGCCGAGAUGUAAAUUUUAUGGACUUUGGCAGUACAUGUUCAACAAGUUAGAGCUUCAUGUACUUAUUUUAGGGAAUGACAAGGCUGGCAAAACGACUUUGCUUGAGAAGAUGAAGUCGGUGUACACGAAUGUAGAAGUUCUUCCUCCGGAUCGAAUUGUGGAAAGCAAUUGCUUCUCCAGGGCGUGGUAUUUUGGCCAUGGAUGAAUCCAAUGCUACAUGUGGAAAGCAGAUGGAUUCAAUUGGAGUAGAGAACACUGAAGCUAACUGUCAAGCAUGGUGUAAAAUUAUAUAUGAAGAAAAUGUUAUGACUUGGUUAAAAUAUAAUUUUUAUGUGUAUGAUUUUUUAGUACUUGAAAUAUUAUGAAUGCACAUGAUUUUGUAUACUUUUUGGUUAA